rnacentral:pre_miRNA from 2 species
UUUUGUGGAUGUUCAAAGAAAGUGGCUUCUUGAGAUGGAAUCUACUCCUGGUGAAGAUGCUAUGAA